UGGGCCUACGGGACGCAGCAGUGAGGAAUAUUGGUCAAUGGCCGGAAGGCUGAACCAGCCAAGUCGCGUGAGGGAUGAAGGUACAGAGUAUCGUAAACCUCUUUUGUCAGGGAACAAAGGCGGGGACGUGUCCCCGGAUGAGUGUACCUGAAGAAAAAGCAUCGGCUAACUCCGUGCCAGCAGCCGCGGUAAUACGGAGGAUGCGAGCGUUAUCCGGAUUUAUUGGGUUUAAAGGGUGCGCAGGCGGUCUGUUAAGUCAGCGGUCAAAGCCCGGGGCUCAACCCCGGCCCGCCGUUGAAACUGGG
rnacentral:rRNA from 1 species